rnacentral:rRNA from 1 species
CCGGGGUGGAGUAACGCGUGGGUAACCUGCCUCAUACAGGGGGAUAACAGUUAGAAAUAGGCUGCUAAUACCGCAUAAGACCACAGUACUGCAUGGUACAGUGGUAAAAACUCCGGUGGUAUGAGAUGGACCCGCGUCUGAUUAGGUAGUUGGUGAGGUAACGGCCCACCAAGCCGACGAUGCGUAGCCGACCUGAGAGGGUGACCGGCCACACUGGGACUGAGACACGGCCCAG